AGGCAAGAUAGAGGCGCAGGGACUGCAUCAGUAGACGGCCGAGGAGGUAUCCGAGGACGCCGCUCGAAAGGGCAGCCUGCCGAAAUGACGCCGCGGACACGCGGCGGCCAUUGGUGACGCGGAGAACAUCCGCCUCACUCCCGCCGAUCCGCGGCGGAGGAGCUGUCGCUGAC
rnacentral:ncRNA from 2 species